ACUUAAGCAUAUCAAUAAGCGGAGGAAAAGAAACCAACAGGGAUUGCCUCAGUAACGGCGAGUGAAGCGGCAACAGCUCAAAUUUGAAAUCUGGCCCUAGGCCCGAGUUGUAAUUUGCAGAGGAUGUUUCUGGCGAGGUGCCUUNCCGAGUUCCCUGGAACGGGACGCCAUAGAGGGUGAGAGCCCCGUACGGUUGGUCGCUAAGCCUCUGUGAAACUCCUUCGACGAGUCGAGUAGUUUGGGAAUGCUGCUCUAAAUGGGAGGUAUACGUCUUCUAAAGCUAAAUACCGGCCAGAGACCGAUAGCGCACAAGUAGAGUGAUCGAAAGAUGAAAAGCACUUUGAAAAGAGGGUUAAAUAGUACGUGAAAUUGUUGAAAGGGAAGCGCUUAUGACCAGACUUGGACCGGUUGAUCAUCCAUCGUUCUCGGUGGUGCACUCUGCCGGUUCAGGCCAGCAUCAGUUUGUCCCGGGGGAUAAAGGCUUUGGGAAUGUGGCUCUUCGGAGUGUUAUAGCCCAUUGCGUAAUACCCUGGGAUAGACUGAGGUUCGCGCUCCGCAAGGAUGCUGGCGUAAUGGUCAUCAGUGACCCGUCUUGAAACACGGACCAAGGAGUCGUCUUCGUAUGCGAGUGUUCGGGUGUCAAACCCCUACGCGUAAUGAAAGUGAACGUAGGAGAGAGCUUCGGCGCAUCUCCGACCGAUCCUGAUGUUCUCGGAUGGAUUUGAGUAAGAGCAUACGGGGCCGGACCCGAAAGAAGGUGAACUAUGCUUGUAUAGGGUGAAGCCAGAGGAAACUCUGGUGGAGGCUCGCAGCGGUUCUGACGUGCAAAUCGAUCGUCAAAUAUGAGCAUGGGGGCGAAAGACUAAUCGAACCUUCUAGUAGCUGGUUUCCGCCGAAGUUUCCCUCAGGAUAGCAGUGUUGAACUCAGUUUUAUGAGGUAAAGCGAAUGAUUAGGGACCCGGGGGCGCUAUAUUGCCUUCAUCCAUUCUCAAACUUUAAAUAUGUAAGAAGCUCUUGUUGCUUAAUUGAACGUGGGCAUUCGAAUGUAUCAACACUAGUGGGCCAUUUUUGGUAAGCAGAACUGGCGAUGCGGGAUGAACCGAACGCGAGGUUAAGGUGCCAGAGUGGACGCUCAUCAGACACCACAAAAGGUGUUAGUACAUCUUGACAGCAGGACGGUGGCCAUGGAAGUCGGAAUCCGCUAAGGACUGUGUAACAACUCACCUGCCGAAUGUACUAGCCCUGAAAAUGGAUGGCGCUCAAGCGUCUCACCCAUACCUCGCCUCAGGGUAGAAACCAUGCCCUGAGGAGUAGGCGGACGUGGAGGUCGUG
rnacentral:rRNA from 1 species